GAUGAACGCUGGCGGCAUGCCUAACACAUGCAAGUCGAGCGAACAGACGAGGAGCUUGCUCCCCUGACUUCAGCGGCGGACGGGAGAGUAACACGUGGAUAACCUACCUAUAAGAAUGGGAUGACUUCGGGAAACCGGAGCUAAUACCGGAUAAUAUAUUGAACUGCAUGGUUCAAUAGUUAAAGACGGUUUUGCUGUCACUUAUAGAUGGACCCGCGCCGCAUUAGUUAGUUGGGAAGGUAACGGCUUACCAAGGCGACGACGCGUAGCCGACCUGAGAGGGUGAUCGGCCACACUGGAACUGAGACACGGUCCAGACUCCUACGGGAGGCAGCAGUAGGGAAUCUUACGCAAUGGGCGAAAGCCUGACGGAGCAAGACCGCGUGAGUGAUGAAGGUCUUCGGAUCGUAAAACUCUGUUAUUAGGGAAGAACAAAUGUGUAAGUAACUAUGCACGUCUUGACGGUACCUAAUCAGAAAGCCACGGCUAACUACGUG
rnacentral:rRNA from 1 species